UCAGAGGCGGCGCGCACUGACCCAGGCGGCGGGAGCGCGUGCUGCCGGGCGGCCCGGUCCGCGGCCCGGGGUCCGCACACUCACCGGACGGAGGCUGAACUCACCACCGACCCGUCCGCCCGGAGUGUGGGUCCCGCGAGGCCCGGGCGUCUGAGCGACGCGAACCGGGCGGCGCUGCGCCAUUCACACUGGGAGGUGCGGGCGCCGCGCGCGCUGCGGGUCCUCCGCGCCCGGUGGCUGGUCCCCAGGCAGCGGAGAAGGCCAUGGUGGACACCAAAGAGGAGGGGAGAGCGAAGGAAUUCUUCGCGGUUAGUUUGGCUGUGGGGCCGGUGGACUGGGGAAGCGGAGCUGACUCCCCGAGGAAUUUCCAGACCAGCCUGAACUCCAGCAGGUUGUGGGGUGGCUCUGUGUGGAACCCCACGGCAGCCACUUCUCAGCUGCAUAGCUAACCCUCUAUACCUAGACCCUUACCUGUGAACGGUGGCACCUACCCCGCAGGGUGGCGUGAGGAGUAAUGAGGCUGUGCCAGGUGCACCCACCUUUGUUCUUCGUUGGAAGGCCACGCCUGUUCGCAAGUACCGUCUGAGGACACGUGGAGCCCGUAACGCCCAUCAUUGGAGCAACAAUGCUGGACCGAGUUCUGAAGAUUCUCGUCAAAAUCCAGAGGGAUUGUAAAUUGAAACUUCCUAAAUGAGUUUUCCUUGUUGAUUUGCUGCUGCCACACAAUAUUUGGUUAAUUGCGGAUGGUCUCAAGCUGUGCUCAUCGCUGCCGCGGCCGCCGGAGCCCCAGCCCGCUGCCACAGGACGGUUGGCACGCUCAGGAGCAGGCUCUCAGCGCCACGAGGACAGGAGCGUCCCAGAGUCCCGGACGGAUGGGCAGCUGGACGCCAGGCAAGGGAGGACAGGGUCCCACAUGAAACACCUGGCGCCUUCACAAGGGAGUCAGCAUCGUGGCACAAGAAACAACCUGAGCUGGAACCCCAGUGACAAGAAUAAAGCCAGCACAGUUUCAUUGUCUUUUUUUUUUUUUUUACAGUCAGAUACUGCCUUACGGUUUCUCUGUACUUUGAAAUUGCCACUAAAAUUUUUGUUGCCAUAUAAAA